rnacentral:misc_RNA from 1 species
GCUGAUUCAAAACUAGUACAACUACAAACAUUAAGCAAUUCUCUAUGGAUGUACGUGAGAAUCAGCUGUCUGUUGGGAGUGGAUUAACAGGUUGGGUAGAAUCACAAUAUCAUAGUUCAUAAAGUAUAUUUCAAGCAUUGAGCUAUGAGAACACUUUAACAUAAACUAGUAGUCCAUUUAUUGAUUGAACUUCAAAAUAACAUAUUUUUAAGUUUCAGCAACAGUUUCGGUUUGAAUUCGACCAGGUCAUUCUCAAGUUACAAUGUCAGCAACGGAAAGGCAAUUUAAUCCUACGACAGGUUCACGUUCUGCUUCUGACAUGGCAGUGGCUUGUUCAUUCAGUUGCUUUGCCUUUGCGCCUGCUACUGCCAGUUUCCAAGAGGUAACAAACCAUUGAAUCCACAUCAUCACCGAAUAUGCUGUAAGCCUCCAUCACUUGCAGAUAGCUGAAUCCCAUCGACAGAACCAUCUGCAUACUACUGCUGAGAACAUUAUCCUGCAAACUCUGUGCCCUCACCUUCGUUUCACCGCCCGAUGAUCUAGUUCCAGAAGAUGAUGGUUCAGCACCAGAAGUAGAAGAUUCUUUGUGACCAAGCUGCAGCUUCAACUUGUCAUUGGCAAGAUACUCUGCACGAGAAGCUUCCAUCACCAUU